rnacentral:rRNA from 1 species
GACGAACGCUGGCGGCGUGCUUAAUACAUGCAAGUCGAACGGAAAGGCCCUGCGUUUGUUGGGUGGUCGAGUGGCGAACGGGUGAGUAACACGUGAGUAUCCUGUCCCUGACUGUGGGAGAACAUUAGGGAACUGGGGCGAUUACCGGAUAGGAGCUCCUGCUGCAUGGUGGUGGAUGGUAAGAGUCGGCGGUUGGGGAUGGACUCGCGGCUUAUGAGCUUGUUGGUGGGGUAGGUGCUUACGAAGGUUUUGACGGGUAGCCCGCCUGAGAGGGUUACCGGCCACCAUGGGCCUGAGAUACGGCCCAGACUCCUACCGGAGGCAGCAGUGGGGAAUAUUACACAGUGAGCGGACGCCUGAUACGGCAACGCCGCGUGCGGGAUGCCGGCCUUCGGGUUGUAAACCGCUUUCGCAUGUGACGAAGCGUGAGUGACGGUAAUGGGUAAAGAAGCACCGGCUAACUACGUG